rnacentral:rRNA from 1 species
UACUCGAGUGGCGAACGGGUGAGUAACACGUGGGUGAUCUGCCCUGCACUUCGGGAUAAGCUUGGGGAACUGGGUCUAAUACCGGAUAGGAGCCAUCUUUAGUGUGGUGGUUGGAAAGUUUUUUCGGUGUAGGAUGAGCUCGCGGCCUAUCAGCUUGUUGGUGGGGUAAUGGCCUACCAAGGCGGCGACGGGUAGCCGGCCUGAGAGGGUGUACGGCCACAUUGGGACUGAGAUACGGCCCAGACUCCUACAGGAGGCAGCAGUGGGGAAUAUUGCACAAUGGGCGCAAGCCUGAUGCAGCGACGCCGCGUGGGGGAUGAAGGCCUUCGGGUUGUAAACUCCUUUCGCUAGGGACGAAGCUUUGUUGUGACGGUACCUAGAUAAGAAGCACCGGCUAACUACGUGCCAGCAGCCGCGGUAAUACGUAGGGUGCGAGCGUUGUCCGGAAUUACUGGGCGUAAAGGGCUCGUAGGUGGUUUGUCGCGUCGUCUGUGAAAUUCUGGGGCUUAACUCCGGGCGUGCAGGCGAUACGGGCAUAACUUGAGUGCUGUAGGGGUAACUGGAAUUCCUGGUGUAGCGGUGAAAUGCGCAGAUAUCAGGAGGAACACCGAUGGCGAAGGCAGGUUACUGGGCAGUUACUGACGCUGAGGA